rnacentral:lncRNA from 1 species
UGGAUAUAACAUUUCUAAUUUUUUUCCUUUUAAGUUUUACAUUUUAAAAGGGUUUUUAGAGAUAUGUGACUUUCCUAUUUUAUAUGUUCUUAGCUUUGCUUUCCCUGAGCACAGAAUCUGAACAGAGACUGCGGGCAGGCACAUAACCAGAAGAAAGAACAUCAUCUACUCUCUUACAAGCCACAGGAUUUCUGGGCUCAGAGCUGCUGGAGACCUCAUUCAGACACAGAUGCCACUGUAGCAGUUUCUCCUUGGCUCCUAGCAGUCGGUCAGGUAGCAGUCUACGCUGCAGGUGCCAAGGAUCCAUCAGUGAAGAAAGUCACUGC